AUCGAACUCGGAUAUAGCUGGUUCUCCUCGAAAUAGCUUUAGGGCUAGCCUCAAGGAAAGAUAUGCGGGGGUAGAGCACUGACUGUUCGCGGGGCCUUCACCGGUUACCAACAACUAUCAAACUCCGAAUACCGUUAUAUUAUACUUGGGAGUCAGACUAUGAGAGAUAAGUUCCAUGGUCGAAAGGGAAACAGCCCAGAUCAACAGCUAAGGUCCCAAAGAGUAAGUUAAGUGGAAAAGGAUGUGGGAUUGCACAAACAGCUAGGAUGUUGGCUUAGAAGCAGCCAUUCAUUUAAAGAGUGCGUAAUAGCUCACUAGUCGAGUGAUCCUGCGCCGAAGAUAAACGGGGCUAAAACUUACCACCGAAGCUUUGGAAUUGCUUAGGCAAUUGGUAGAGGAGCGUUCUGUACGGGCAGAAGGGAAGUCGUAAGGCGACCUGGACUGUACAGAAGAGAGAAUGUUGGCAUGAGUAGCGUAAGGCGGGUGAGAAUCCCGUCCGCCGAAAAUCUAAGGUUUCCUGAGGAAGGUUCGUCCUCUCAGGGUAAGUCGGGACCUAAGCCGAGAGCGAGAGCUGUAGGCGAUGGACAACAGGUUAAUAUUCCUGUACUACCGAUGAUUGUAUGAGUGAAGUGGGGACGCAGAAGGAUAAGUUGAGCACGCCGUUGGUUGAGCGUGUCCAAGCAGUGAGGUUUGAAUGUAGGCAAAUCCGCAUUCUAUGAGAUUGAGCUGUGAUGGGGUGACGAAAGUCAAUAAGCAACUGAUUUCACGCUGCCGAGAAAAGCCACUAGCGAGAUCAAAGGUACCCGUACCGCAAACCGACACAGGUAGAUGAGGAGAGAAUCCUAAGGUGAGCGAGCGAACUAUUGUUAAGGAACUCGGCAAAAUAACCCCGUAACUUCGGGAGAAGGGGUGCCCACAUAAGUGGGCCGCAGUGAAGAGGUCCAGGCAACUGUUUACCAAAAACACAGGUCUCUGCUAAAUCGAAAGAUGAAGUAUAGGGGCUGACGCCUGCCCGGUGCUGGAAGGUUAAGGGGAAGUGUUAGAGCAAUCGAAGCACUGAACUUAAGCCCCAGUAAACGGCGGCCGUAACUAUAACGGUCCUAAGGUAGCGAAAUUCCUUGUCGGGUAAGUUCCGACCCGCACGAAAGGCGUAAUGAUCUGGACACUGUCUCAACAAUAGGCUCGGUGAAAUUGUAGUACCGGUAAAGAUGCCGGUUACCCGCAGCAGGACGGAAAGACCCCGUGGAGCUUCACUGUAGCUUGAUAUUGAGUUUCGGCGUUGCAUGUACAGGAUAGGUGGGAGACUAUGAGACGGGUACGCCAGUAUCCGUGGAGUCACCGUUGGGAUACCACCCUUGUAACGUUGGAAUUCUAACCGAGUAUCGUAAUCCGGUACCGGGACAGUGUCAGGUGGGCAGUUUGACUGGGGCGGUCGCCUCCUAAAGAGUAACGGAGGCGCCCAAAGGUUCCCUCAGCGCGGACGGAAAUCGCGCGAAGAGUGCAAAGGCAAAAGGGAGCUUGACUGCGAGACAUACAGGUCGAGCAGGGACGAAAGUCGGGCUUAGUGAUCCGGUGGUACCGCGUGGAAGGGCCAUCGCUCAACGGAUAAAAGCUACCCCGGGGAUAACAGGCUUAUACCCCCCAAGAGUUCACAUCGACGGGGGUGUUUGGCACCUCGAUGUCGGCUCGUCUCAUCCUGGGGCUGAAGUAGGUCCCAAGGGUUGGGCUGUUCGCCCAUUAAAGAGGUACGCGAGCUGGGUUCAGAACGUCGUGAGACAGUUCGGUCCCUAUCCGCUGUGGGCGUUGGAAAUUUGAGAGGAGCUAUCCUUAGUACGAGAGGACCGGGAUGGACAUACCUCUGGUGCACCGGUUGUUCUGCCAAGGGCAUAGCCGGGUAGCUAAGUAUGGACGGGAUAAGCGCUGAAAGCAUCUAAGUGCGAAGCCCCCCUCAAGAUAAGAUUUCCCCCAGAAAUGGUAAGACCCGUGAGAGACUAUCACGUUGA
rnacentral:rRNA from 1 species